rnacentral:lncRNA from 1 species
AAGUAAUUGUUAACCCAGUUCAGCCAACUGCCUACUCUGGGGGAUACCAAUCCAGGAAGGAAAUCCACUAAUAGUUCUAGUUACUAAGACCUCCAGCAAACCCUACGAUUUACGCCUUAACCUAAGACCUCCAGCAAACCCCUGGUUUACGCCUUAUAACCUCGACACUACUCAUGCAACUUAUGCCUAGGAACUCCUAGACAUGAGAUCCCAUCUCACUUCCACUCACACAACACAACCUGUGUUGUUUAA